rnacentral:rRNA from 1 species
GACGAACGCUGGCGGCGUGCCUAAUACAUGCAAGUUGAGCGCUGAAGGUUGGUACUUGUACCAACUGGAUGAGCAGCGAACGGGUGAGUAACGCGUGGGGAAUCUGCCUUUGAGCGGGGGACAACAUUUGGAAACGAAUGCUAAUACCGCAUAAAAACUUUAAACACAAGUUUUAAGUUUGAAAGAUGCAAUUGCAUCACUCAAAGAUGAUCCCGCGUUGUAUUAGCUAGUUGGUGAGGUAAAGGCUCACCAAGGCGAUGAUAUAUGGCCGACCUGAGAGGGUGAUCGGCCACAUUGGGACUGAGACACGGCCCAAACUCCUACGGGAGGCAGCAGUAGGGAAUCUUCGGCAAUGGACGAAAGUCUGACCGAGCAACGCCGCGUGAGUGAAGAAGGUUUUCGGAUCGUAAAACUCUGUUGGUAGAGAAGAACGUUGGUGAGAGUGGAAAGCUCAUCAAGUGACGGUAACUACCCAGAAAGGGACGGCUAACUACGUG